AUUGAACGCUGGCGACAGGCCUAACACAUGCAAGUCGAGCGGAUGAGUGGAGCUUGCUCCAUGAUUCAGCGGCGGACGGGUGAGUAAUGCCUAGGAAUCUGCCUGGUAGUGGGGGACAACGUUUCGAAAGGAACGCUAAUACCGCAUACGUCCUACGGGAGAAAGUGGGGGAUCUUCGGACCUCACGCUAUCAGAUGAGCCUAGGUCGGAUUAGCUAGUUGGUGAGGUAAAGGCUCACAAAGGCGACGAUCCGUAACUGGUCUGAGAGGAUGAUCAGUCACACUGGAACUGAGACACGGUCCAGACUCCUACGGGAGGCAGCAGUGGGGAAUAUUGGACAAUGGGCGAAAGCCUGAUCCAGCCAUGCCGCGUGUGUGAAGAAGGUCUUCGGAUUGUAAAGCACUUUAAGUUGGGAGGAAGGGCAGUAAGUUAAUACCUUGCUGUUUUGACGUUACCAACAGAAUAAGCACCGGCUAACUUCGUGCCAGCAGCCGCCGUAAUAC
rnacentral:rRNA from 1 species